rnacentral:misc_RNA from 1 species
UGUCACGUAAAAUGAGAAAGAAGUUUAAAGGAAAGAAGAAAACUUUAUUUUUUCCUCGUUUAUACACUUCUGAACUCUAGCCGUGGCCGUUCGAGACUGAGGCUCUUACAAUAUUUUAUUACUUUCGGUGACAUCUGUUUCUUCUUUUGUUUUUCAUCCUUCAUUAUCCCCACUACCCUGUAGGCGUACGUGACUGUUGCUACGCUUCUAGAACAUUCGGUAGAAGGACCGUUAGGACAUAGAUGAACCCUCAGGUACUCCGGCAAUAUACAUUGUCGCCAAGAUCGCCAUGUGUAAUGUUCAAGUAUCGGCUGUCUGGAGAAUGUUUAGAGGUGGUCGCCUAAGGUGACGUCAGGGCAAAAGAGUUUGUGGUUACAC